rfam:Syphacia muris strain Valencia genome assembly, scaffold: SMTV_scaffold0000186
GCCCCGUUGGCGCAGUCGGUUAGCGCGUCGUACUUAUAAGUGAUUAGGACAUGCGAAGGUCAGCAGUUCGAGCCUGCUACGGGGCA